GGUCCUACUAUAGCACAGGGAACUAUAUCCAGUCUAUUGGGAUAGAGUAUGAUGGAAAGCAAUAUAAGAAAAGGAAUGUAUAUAUAAGUAUGACUGGGUCACUUUGCUGUACAGCAGAAAUUGACACAGCAUUGUAAAUCAACUAUACUUUACUUAAAGAUAAAUUUUGGAGAUGGAGACAUAGGACUUCCUUAUGGAUUAGAAAUAAGAAAAUAAAGAGUCAAAAAUAAGUAUUUGAGCAACUAGAUGGAGGUCAUGGCCAUUUAAAAGAUACACAAGUUGGGAAGGAACAGAUACAUGGAUUAAAAGGCGAGUGAAUUAAAAAGCCAGUCUUUGAUGUACUAAGUUUACAGACAUAAUAGUAACACCCUCUCUUCCUGGCCUGGUCCCUGGAAGCUUGUAGAGUCCACUGUCUCUCUUAGCCGUGUUCCAGUGUCACCAUGUGAGGGUGCCUUGGAAUGAGUCUGUUUCGUCUAUUGUUCAGGGAGUUUAGUGGGUACUUUUGAUUGGUAACUACAUGUUCCUUGAAUCUAAAACAUGAUUUUUGAGUAAUUUCAUGGGUUUACUUCCUAAAUUUUCUUUUUUCUUUCUUUCUAUAAUCCCAUCUAUGUAGAUAUUGGAGUACCUGAGCUGGUUCUCUAAUUAAAAACAAACAAAACCCUCUUCUAUGUUCUCUCUCUCUUUGCUCUACUUUUUAGUUUCCCUAAACCUUAUUUUCUAGUCCUUUUGUGAGACUGAAAUUUCUGCUAAUCUUUUUACUAUGUUAGAACUCUCUUGGUUUUCAGAAACAAGACCUCUUUUUGCAUCCUAUAUAUUUUUUUUGUUUUUUAUUAGAGCGCAGGGGUCUAUCUGAAGCAGAUGGAGAAGCUUUCUAGGCUAGGGGUUGAAUUGGAGCUGCAGCUGCUGGCCUACGCCACAGCCACAGCAAUGCCAGAUCCUUAACCCAAUGAGAGAUGCCAGGGAUUGAACCCACACCCUCAUUGAUACUAGUUGGGUUCAUUACCACUGAGCCACAGUGGGAACUCCCUAUAUAUGUUUUAUUGAUGAAAAAUCUACUGGCAUUGCUCUGAAAGUUUGUGGGAAUAUUACUAUUAUUUUAUUUAAACAUCUCACUUCUUGGCUUUCUGACGUUUGCAUUUUGUAUUUAGGACUUGAUCUUUUCUAAAAGUGAUUUUCUAAGAUGUUUGUGAUCCUCCAUUUUUUUUUCUUUUUUAAGAGUGGGGCACUGGAAAUCUAGUGGAAUUGGGAGCAUGAAAUGAGUGCUUGUCAGCAGUAGAUGUCACUGCAGGUGGUGUGGAGGGAUCAUUCUCUUGGAGGCAGGGGUGUCCUAUACAUGACUGUAGCCUUUCCUCCUCCACUCAUCAGAUUCCCAGGUGGGAUUCUCCCACUGUCCUGCCUGAAGGGAUAAACCAGGAUGCCAAUUUCCUGAGAGCCAAGAAAGAGCCAAAGAUACUGGGCUUAACAUUCAGCAGUAACUCUUGACAAUCUAGAAGAGAAGAAACAUCCAGAAAGAAAGAGAAAAAUAACUUAGUGCCUCAUCAUUCAUAAACAGAGGCAGUUUGCCUGCAGUUCAAGGAGAGGGAAAGUUCACUCACUAAGCAAGAUAGAAGACAAAUGUGCAACUUUUGUGAUCUGUCCUCAUGGUUUAUUUCAAUGUAUCACUAAUACAUAGUUAAAAAUCUAAGUUUAACCAGCAUAAUAACUUGCUGUACUAAAAUUAUAUAAAAUUUAUCUCUGACCAUUCCCUCUUUACAUAUAAUUUUUCUUUAGUGUUUAUCACUUUUUGAAGUCCACAACUGAUAUUAUUUCAUCAGUGUUUAUAUUUUCACAUUUAUCAUCUUUGCUCCCUUUCUUAAAAAUUUCAGAGCUUCUAAGUCAUCUUUCAAUGUUUUACAGUCAUGAAAUAUAUUCUUUAGGUAUUUGCUAAGGUAUUGCUUGUGGCAAGCUCUCAGAAUUAUUUGUUGAAUGCAUUAGUUUUGGAUAAUUUUACUGUGUGCAUUUUUCUAGAUUGACGUUUAUUCUCUGGCUUCCAUUUUUGCCAUGAUGAAGCCUACUUUCAGUUGAAAUGUUCUUUUUUGCAGGAAAUCCAUCUCUUCUCUCUGACCGAUUUUUAAAUCCUCUUUGGUUUAAUGCUUUGAAGUUACACUACACUCUGCCUAGGCAUACCAUUUCUUGUGAUUUUCCUACCCUGAUGUACCUGGUUCUUAAUCCUUCUGUUUGCACUAUGGUAGUACUGCUUUUAACUGGGUGUGGUACAUAGGAACCUGCUGUUUAGGCUUCUAGAGGAUACACCUCUCAUGCUCUGCCAAAAUUGGAGGAGGGGAGGAGCACUUGCCUCAAUUUGUGGAGUAAGAAAUGGAAUUGGCUGAAUUUCUGGAAGAAACAGGCACUGGGACUUGCAUCUUGCCUGAGAAAGAGAAGGUGGUCCAGGUCUGAUAGAAGUCCCCCCUCGGACGUUCACGCAACGUUUAAAACAAAGUUUAUUUGUAAUAUUUUAUGUGCGUUACGCUGUAUGAUACUAACCAAAGACCUAGGACCCCACCCCUCAGCCUAAGACAGGGUACAAUGUCCACUGUGUCAAGAUUCCUAUAUGGCUCCCUUGGGGAAGGUCUCAAAGGACUGAAUCCUUGGGUCUAAAUGCAAAACCCAUGAUAGAUGUGGAGGCAUGGAGUCAUUUUUUUUUUAAAGAUGCUGCCCAAGAGGAUGGUCUGGCAAGACAAAGGAAGCCUGGCAUUAAGAGAACUCUGGGGUGUGUUUCUGGGAGUAAAGCAGCCAAAGGAGAAGCAGUCCUGUGACUGAAGAGGAGCUGUGAUGGAGGGGUCAGCUUGGAAGCCUGGAAAACUUCAGGAAGCAUCUGCCCCUCACCCUCCACUGUGUGUUUGUAAUUGCCUCUCCUCUUGGUUCUUGUAACUUGACUCAUACUUCCAAAAAUAUUUAAAAUAUUUUAGUGUGGCUUUAAGAGAAAACAAAAUGAAAUAUCUACAUACACAAAGGUUCCUAAUUUUUUUUAAGUAUUGAAAUUGUAUUUCAUGCAGUGUUUAAAGCAAUGGUUAUUUAUAAUAGUUUAUGUGUGUUAAUGGUGUAUAAUUCUAACCAGACGCCUGUGACCCCACCCCUCAGCCUAAGACGGAAAAAUGUCCAUUGUGUCAAGAUGCCUGUAUGGCUUCCUUGGCAUCCCCUUCCCACUGUCUUCAGCAAAUCUUCCUCCUAAAUCUGGAUUUUCUUAUUCUCUUUUAUUUAAUUUCCUACCUUUGAGAAAUUAAUAUAUUAAGAUUUAUCUUUCUCUCUGUGGGUGAUUACAAUGUUUCAAAUCCUUUGAGGUCAAAAUCUGCUGACUCUCAUUCAUCGUUUAUUUCUUGUUUCGUUUUGUAUUUUAAUGAGCACAUUUUGGGUUGAACUUGAAUAUGGAAUACCACAGGCCCUAAGUUAGGGAGGUUUUUGGUUCAUAUUGUACUUGUAUUGGCUUCUGCUGGACCCCAGGAGGUGCUGCCAAGAAGGGACUCUUUCAUUUUCUUGGCUUGAGCUUUCUCUUAUCCAUUCUGACUCCAGACCCAGAGAGCAGGCUGAGUUAACAUUCUCAAAAGAUACUGGAUAUGGAGAUGUUUACAGCCUGGAUUCCUGGAAGGUCCCCUUUGCUGGUAGGCAGACACUUCCAGCAUGUAGUCCCCAUUUGAGGUUCCUGGCUUAAUGUGGGGAUCCAGGCUCAGCUCCAGGAAUUUACACAGGUCUAGGGUUUCCCAUUCCUCUUUGUCAGCACUGGCCUUGAGGGCAGCCCUGGCUCCUACGUUAGCUCCAGGCUCUGAUUUUAGCUCACUGUUGCUGUUGAUGCCUUUAUUUUCUUGACUACUUAGCAAUUAAUUACAAAAUAAGUUGGCUAUAAUGUAUCCAGGUCUUGUUAAAGAAUCCAGUGCACCAUAUUGCUUGAAGCAAAAUCUAUACUUGAAGUUUUAUUUCCAUUGUGAUAUAAGAUCUGCUAGGAAAGAAAUUUGCCUUUCUAUGUUCCUCAAUUACAUUUUGUAAGCUGCCGGUGUUACUGCUGCUAUUUCUCCUGUUUGGCUUUUGGUUUUUAUUAUUUAUUUCUAAUUUUAUUUUGGAGAUUAGAAAAUAAAGUCAGUAUUUUCCUGCUUUAUAGCUUUUUUGUUUUCCUUUAUUUUUUAAGGUUUAUGGAAGUUCCCAGGCUAGGGGUCAAAUCGGAGCUGCAGUUGCUGGUUUACGCCACAGCAGCACCUAAUCCUAGCCACAUCUGCAAGCUAUGCCACAGCUUGCAGCAAUGCUGGAUCCUUAACCCACUGAGUGAGGCCAAGGAUUGAACCUGCAUCCUCACAGAUGCUAUGUCAGGGUCUUAACCCACUGAACCACAACAGGAACUCCUCUAUAGAUUUUUUCAAAAAUCUUUUUCUUUCUUUCUUUUUCUUUUUUCUUUUUUUUUGGUCUUUUGUCUUUUUAGGGCUGCACCCGCAGCAUAUAGAGGUCCCCAGGCUAGGGGUCUAGUCAGAGCUAUAGCUGCUGGCCUACGCCAGAGCCACAGCAAUGCCAGAUCGGAGCUGCAUCUGUGACCUACACCACAGCUCAUGGCAAUGCUGAAUCCUUAACAUACUGAUCAAGGCCAGGGAUUGAACCUGAAACCUCAUGGUUCCUAGUCAGAUUCGUUUCUGCUGGGCCAUGACAGGAAGUCCGUUAAAUGUUUUUCUUUUGUGCCGUAUUUGGUAGUGGUUUUUUUUUGUUUGUUUGUUUGUUUACUGUUAUAUUGGUGCUUUAGAAGUAUAUUUCAUCUUAUUUACUAUAUUGUUAAGGUCCCCUUAUUAAUAAUUCAUUUCUACUCAGUUGAAAUGUCAAGUUUUAUAGGAUUAAUAAUUUCUCACUGCUAUGUGUAAAUUUCUCCUUCAGUGUGUUCAGAUGUGCCAGUACUAUACCUUUCAGGGCUGCAAAACUGACAGCAACUUACCUUUUAGUAGAUUGUAAUCUUUAUCAUGACCACUUUAAUGUCAAAACUUUUUUAUAUUUUGAUUUUUUAUUUUCUUUUUUCAUUUUAUUUCAGACCUAACUUUAUUUUCCUUUUAUGUUCCUUUUUAUUUCAGACUUAACACACAGACUUGGUACAUUUUAUUUAAAUGUUACAGUUUAUAGUUGUCACUGUGUCUCCAUCAUGUAUGUUUCUAUCAUCAAGCAUUAUAUCAUUCAGUUUUACAAAUUUUGAAACUGUAUGGCAAUGGAAUGAUAUUCAUUCACUUAGUGUAAAUUAAUUGAGCACCUGUCCUAUGCCAGGCACUCAAGAGCUUGUAUGCACAAAUGGACAAUGGCCUGACCAUAUAUAAAAGCAGAACUCUGACCUGCCAUCUGCAAAAAUCUGCCCAGGAAAUCAGUCCCUUGUCUUCAUUAACCAGCCAGGAAACCAGACUGUAUGAGUCAGACCUAAGGAGGUCAUACUGCCGUCUUGAGGAAGCCAAACAAAAACUUCUAUAGCAAUUGGUCCCAAAUGCCCAGGACUUGAUUAACAACUGAAUAUUUCCCUAGUAUGUGUCCCCUCUUCUGACUUAAGAUCAGCAGAGAAAACAAUACAUGAGUUUCUAAGCAAUCACAUAGAUGCCUGCUUCUAGUUAGUCUGCAGGUAGCUUUCCCAGGCUAACAACUCCAAUCAGGGCACAUCUGAAGUCUUCCCUUUUUUCCUCAAUAAAGCUUCCCUACUCCUCUGCCAGCCUUUAAAUCUUGACUAAAACACAGUGAUGGUGGUUAAGAUACUUGCUCUAGUAGCUCAUAAUUAAGUAGCCCUUGCUUAUUCUCAUUUGGUUGGUCUUUCUUUCCAUAUCCUGCUGUAUCAUGUGUGCCAAAUCAAAGAAAGAUCGAAGAUAAACAAAAAAUGCUGCCUUUAUGGAACUUACAUUCUAAUGGGGCAGUGAUGGGAGGAGACAGAGGGAAAAAUAUGCUAAGUUCUGUAGAAUAUGUGAAGGUUAUAAUUGCUAUAAAAAUUAGCAAGGAAAGGGACAUGAAAGGGCUGGGGUAGGAGUCUGUGAUUUUCCAUGGGAUUAUCAGUGACAUUCCAUUUCCAAGGUGACAUUUGAGCAAAGGUUGGAAGAAACUGAGGGAGUGAAUCAUACAGAAAUAAUGCAGGAGUAGAAAUCCUUCCAGGUAGUAGGAACCUCAAGGCAAAUUCUCUAAUACAGGAAUGUGCUUGGCACUUUCCAGAAAAAGCUGGAACUUAGGGCUAGAGGAAAGGGACUAAGGAGAAGAGGAGAUACGGUCUGAAUCCUCAGGGGACAGAUCAUGGGAAGUUUUGUGAGCUGUUGGAAGGACUAUGGUGUUGUCACCGCUGUGUCUUGGGUCACUGCUAUGGCUCGGGUUUGAUCCCUGACCCUUGAACUUCUGCAUGCUGCAAGCAUGGCCAAAAAGAAAACAAGAGGAAAAGAAAAAAAAAAA
rnacentral:lncRNA from 1 species